CAGGAAGAACACUUUGCUGAAACUUUACAGGCAUUUCUUAAAAGAGCACUUAGUCUUCCCAAGUCCUGAAAGAUGUCGAGUUAGCUUCUAGGAUUCUGAUCUACUUCACCUCCUUGUUUAGGGACGCACCGCAAGGAGAGGAAGUAUGUACCUAGCUGGAAGUAGGAGUCUUUUCGCUCAGGGAGAUUGGCCAAAUCUGGUGCUGUGCUGGAGAUCCUACAUGAGACCUCUGUUUGCCACUCUUCCAGGAAGAGCAGGUACUCUCUCAGGAGCCGAGUGCAUGGACACAUAGCACAUCACACCUCCUGAUUCUGGGGUUUCACGUUUUGGCUUCUUCAUCCUCAGAU
rnacentral:lncRNA from 1 species